rnacentral:rRNA from 1 species
UACGUAGGGUGCGAGCGUUAAUCGGAAUUACUGGGCGUAAAGCGUGCGCAGGCGGUUCGUUGUGUCGGCGGUGAAAUCCCCGGGCUCAACCUGGGAAUGGCCGUUGAAACUGGCGAACUGGAGUGUGGCAGAGGGGGGUGGAAUUCCGCGUGUAGCAGUGAAAUGCGUAGAGAUGCGGAGGAACACCGAUGGCGAAGGCAGCCCCCUGGGCUGACACUGACGCUCAGGCACGAAAGCGUGGGGGAGCAAACAGG